rnacentral:rRNA from 1 species
GACGAACCGUCCAAACGUUAUUCGGAAUCACUGGGCUUACAGAGUUCGUAGGCGGUCCCAAAAGUUAGGUGUGAAAUCCCUCGGCUCAACCGAGGAACUGCGCUUAAAACUGUGGGACUCGAGGGAGAUAGAGGAAAGCGGAACGUGAUGGUGGAGCGGUGAAAUGCGUUGAUAUCAUCAGGAACACCGGUGGCGAAGGCGGCUUCUGGGUCUUACCUGGACGCUGAGGAACGAAAGCCUAGGGGAGCGAAGCGG